UACGUAGGUGGCAAGCGUUAUCCGGAUUUAUUGGGCGUAAAGAGAACGCAGGCGGUCUUUUAAGUCUGAUGUGAAAGCCUUCGGCUUAACCGGAGUAGUGCAUUGGAAACUGGGAGACUUGAGUGCAGAAGAGGAGAGUGGAACUCCAUGUGUAGCGGUGAAAUGCGUAGAUAUAUGGAAGAACACCGGUGGCGAAAGCGGCUCUCUGGUCUGUAACUGACGCUGAGGUUCGAAAGCGUGGGUAGCAAACAGG
rnacentral:rRNA from 1 species